rnacentral:rRNA from 1 species
GAUGAACGCUGGCGGCGUGCCUAAUACAUGCAAGUCGAGCGAACGGACGAGAAGCUUGCUUUUCUGAUGUUAGCGGCGGACGGGUGAGUAACACGUGGAUAACCUACCUAUAAGACUGGGAUAACUUCGGGAAACCGGAGCUAAUACCGGAUAAUAUUUUGAACCGCAUGGUUCAAAAGUGAAAGACGGUCUUGCUGUCACUUAUAGAUGGACCCGCGCUGCAUUAGCUAGUUGGUAAGGUAACGGCUUACCAAGGCAACGAUGCAUAGCCGACCUGAGAGGGUGAUCGACCACACUGGAGCUGAGGCACGGUCCAGACUCCUACGGGAGGCAGCAGUAGGGAAUCAUCCGCAAUGGGCGAAAGCCUGACGGAGCAACGCCGCGUGAGUGAUGAAGGUCUUCGGAUCGUAAAACUCUGUUAUUAGGGAAGAACAUAUGUGUAAGUAACUGUGCACAUCUUGACGGUACCUAAUCAGAAAGCCACGGCUAACUACGUG